AUUGAACGCUGGCGGCAGGCCUAACACAUGCAAGUCGCGCGGAGCGGCGGACGGGUGAGUAAUGCCUAGGAAUCUGCCUGGUAGUGGGGGAUAACGUCCGGAAACGGGCGCUACUACCGCAUACUAUCAGAUGAGCCUAGGUCGGAGUAGCUAGUUGGGGGGGUAAAGGCCUAGCAAGGCGACGGUCCGUAACUGGUCUGCGAGGAUGAUCAGUCACACUGGAAUUGAGACACGGUCCAGACUCCUACGGGAGGCAGCAGUGGUGAAUAUUGGACAAUGGGCGAAAGCCUGAUCCAGCCAUGCCGCGUGUGUGAAGAAGGCCGUCGGGUUGUAAAGCACUGUCAGCGAGGAGGCGUUACUCGCAGAAGAAGCACCGGCUAACUCCGUGCCAGCAGCCGCGGUAAUUC
rnacentral:rRNA from 1 species